UACGAAGGGGGCUAGCGUUGCUCGGAAUCACUGGGCGUAAAGCGCACGUAGGCGGCUUUCUAAGUCAGGGGUGAAAUCCUGGAGCUCAACUCCAGAACUGCCUUUGAUACUGGGAAGCUUGAGUCCGGAAGAGGUGAGUGGAACUGCGAGUGUAGAGGUGAAAUUCGUAGAUAUUCGCAAGAACACCAGUGGCGAAGGCGGCUCACUGAUCCGGUACUGACGCUGAGGUGCGAAAGCGUGGGGAGCAAACAGG
rnacentral:rRNA from 1 species